CAAUAGCGUAUAUUAAAGUUGUUGCGGUUAAAAAGCUCGUAGUUGGAUUUCUGCCGAGGACGACCGGUCCGCCCUCUGGGUGAGCAUCUGGCUCGGCUUGGGCAUCUUCUUGGAGAACGUAUCUGCACUUGACUGUGUGGUGCGGUAUCCAGGACUUUUACUUUGAAAAAAUUAGAGUGUUCAAAGCAGGCCUAUGCUCUGAAUAGGUUAGCAUGGAAUAAUAAAAUAGGACUUUGGUUCUAUUUUGUUGGUUUCUAGGACCGAAGUAAUGAUUAAUAGGGACAGUUGGGGGCAUUCAUAUUCCAAUGUCAGAGGUGAAAUUCUUGGAUUUGUUAAAGACGGACUACUGCAAAAGCAUUUGCCAAGGAUGUUUUCAUUAAUCAAGAACGAAAGUUAGGGGAUCGAAGACGAUUAGAUACGGU
rnacentral:rRNA from 1 species